GCUAACGACCGUACCACGUUGAAUACACCAGUUCUCGUCUAAACACUGUUGUUAAGCAAUGUCGGGCGUAGUUUUAGUACUUGGAUGGGUGACCACUUGGAACAACACUACGUGCUGUUAGAA
rnacentral:rRNA from 1 species